rnacentral:rRNA from 1 species
AUGGCAAAGCAGGAUCCAAAGUGGUACGAGGCAAUGUUGGAGGAAAUGAGAGCACUUGAAAAGAACAAGACAUGGGAUAUUGUACCUCUUCCAGCAGGAAAAAGACCGGUUAGCUGUAAAUGGGUGUAUACUGUGAAGCAGACUCCUGAAGGAAGGGUAGAAAGAUACAAGGCAAGGUUAGUGGCUAGGGGCUAUAGUCAGACAUACGGGAUUGAUUAUGAUGAGACUUUUGCACCUGUCGCAAAGAUGGGCACAGUGAGAACCUUAAUUUCUUGUGCCACUAACUUUGGUUGGGCUUUGCAUCAGUUAGGUGUAAAGAAUGCAUUCCUGCAUGGUGAUUUACAUGAGGAAGUUUACAUGGAGAUUCCACCUGGUUUCUCAAAGCCCGAGACAUCAAGAAAGGUAUGCAAGUUAAGGAAGUCUUUGUAUGGCCUCAAACAGUCUCCACGAGCAUGGUUUGAUAGAUUCAGACGUGCUGUGUGCAAUAUGGGAUAUAAACAGUGCAAUGGGGAUCAUACAGUAUUCUACCGGCACUCAAAUUGUCAGAUUACAAUCCUUGCGGUGUAUGUGGAUGAUAUUAUAAUCACCGGAGAUGAUGAUGUGGAAAUAUCACGACUGAAGAAGAGCCUGAGCAAGGAGUUUGAGGUAAAGGAUUUAGGCCAACUGAAGUACUUUCUUGGUAUAGAAAUUGCUAGAUCCCCUAAAGGAAUUGUUCUCUCACAACGAAAGUAUGCUCUCGACUUGCUUAGUGAUACAGGCAUGCUUGGGUGUAGGCCUGCUUCAACACCUAUUGACCAGAAUCAUAAGUUAUGUGCUGAAUCUGGGGAACCAGUGGAUAAGGAGAAGUACCAGAGACUUGUUGGAAGGCUCAUCUACCUAUGUCAUACACGACCCGAUAUCUCAUAUGCAGUGAGUGUGGUGAGCAGAUACAUGCAUGAUCCUAGGAGUGGACACUUAGAGGCUGUCUAUCAAAUCCUCCGAUAUCUGAAGGGUAAUCCAGGAAGGGGGCUAUGGUUUAAGAAGAAUGGGCAUCUUAAUAUAGAUGGAUACUGUGAUGCAGACUGGGGAAGUUGUUUGGAUGACAGAAGAUCAACUUCUGGUUAUUGUGUGUUUGUUGGGGGAAACUUGGUGUCAUGGCGAAGUAAGAAGCAGCCAGUGGUGUCCAAAUCAACAGCUGAAGCUGAAUAUAGAGCUAUUUCACAAGGCUUGAGUGAGAUGUUAUGGGUAAGAAAUCUUCUCUCUGAGUUGAAGGUAAUAAGGAAGGAUCCCCUAAGGUUAUGGUGUGAUAAUAAAUCAGCUAUCAGCAUUGCUAAUAAUCCAGUUCAGCAUGACAGAACCAAGCAUGUCGAGAUAGACCGCUUCUUCAUCAAGGAGAAGUUAGAUGAUGGCAUAAUCAGGAUAAGUUAUGUGAGCUCUAGAGAACAAGUGGCUGAUUGUUUAACUAAGGGUUUAAGUGUCAAGGAGUGUAAUUCUGCGUGUGACAAGAUGGGAAUGAUAGAUAUCUAUCACCCAUCUUGA